CGGUGCCCAGGGUUGGACGGGCUUCAGGAGCAUGGCCCGAGCUGGUUGCCAGAGCCUUACCCUGAACUGCAGCGGCCGCGGAGCAUGGGUGCUGGUGCAGCAUGAUGAGGCAACCAGAACGUCCGGAGCCUGAGCCCUUGUGAAGCCAGAGAUGACAAGUCUGAAUGGUUGCCAUGCUGAGAAAACUAUUGACAUGCCAAAGCCGUCAGGCCCAAAAGUGCACGUGCAGAGGUCUGUGUCUCGAGACACCAUCGCCAUUCACUUCUCAGCAUCUGGGGAGGAGGAAGAGGAAGAGGAGGAGGAAUUCAGGGAGUACCUUUGGGGCAGCUGGAUGACCAAAGCGUUGUGACAGGGCUUGAAGGCAAGGAGGACCUCUGCCUGGAACCCCAGGGUGGCCAUGGCUCUGUGGGUCCUAGCACCGCGCCCCUUGUGGCAGAUGAACUGUAUACGUCCCAGGCCCCUGCCAUUUUGCUCGUCUCCAAGAACACUGUAAAGCUGUUGGAGUCCCUUCCUCCAGCAGCUCAAGUAUUAAGUACAGUGCCAUCGGCUCUGUCUCCAGGGUCAUCUUCGUCAGGGCCCUUGGCCAGCUCGCCCAGUGUGUCGUUCCUUUCUGAGCAGAAAACUAGCUCCUCCUCCCCACUGUCCCCCCCUGUCCAAGUCUCCCAGCCUCUCCUCCAGUGUCUCAUCCUCUUCCCUCUCCAGCACAAAGCCCUUCCUGAGCUUGGUGACGUCCUUGUCCACUGAGGUGGAGCCAAAAGAACCCCCACACCCCCCGAGGCACAAACACUUGAUGAAGACAUUAGUCAAGUCUCUGUCCACCGACACCUCCAGGCAGGAGUCAGAAGCUGUGUCCUACAAGCCACCUGACUCCAAGCUGAACUUACACCUCUUCAAGCAGUUCACACAGCCACGCAACGUGGGUGGAGACUCCAAAACCGCACCUUCCUCCCUGCUGACUUCUCCCUCCAACACUCGCUCUUUUUUUAAAAUGCCUGAAAUGGAGGCGAAAAUCGAAGACACUAAACGACUCCUUUCAGAAGUCAUAUACGAGCCUUUUCAGCUCCUUAGUAAAAUUAUAGGGAAGGACAGUGUGAGCCAUAGGCCCAAAGCCCUGUCAUCAAGUGCUUCAGAGCUCUCCAACCUGUCCAGCUUGAACGGGCAUUUGGAAAGCAGUAACAACUAUAGCAUCAAGGAAGAGGAGGGUGACUCCAAGGGGGAUGGCUCUAGCAGUGACUGCAGUGUCCCCAAGAGCGACCUUUCAAAGUCCACCGAAGAGCCUGUGAGGGAGGGGGAACCAAAAUCUUCCCAGGCUGGCGGCCUGAAGGAUUUAGGCCUGAAGAUGAGCUCUCUUGUCUUAGAAAAGUGUUCUUUGUCUGUCUUGCUGAGCAAAGAAGAUGAAGAGUUUUGUGAACUGUACACAGAAGACUGAGCUGGAAGCAGAGAGUGAGGGUAGACCUGACAAGCCCCCAGCCAUCCCUCUCAAAUCAGAGGUGCUCACGGAGGACGGCGCCCUUCUGGACAGUGAAGGGGAAGUGAAUGUGGCCAUGCAGCACCCAGAAUUGCCCAUGAAGGUGCUGGGCUUCCUUAUGUUGUGUGUCUAUGCGUACCUUAUCCUCCUCCUCCCCCACUACGCGAGUGGACUCUUUCUGGGAGUUGGCCUUGGAUUCAUGACUGCAGUUUGCUUGAUUUGGAUUUUUACACCACCAAGUGCUCCUAAGUAUCACAAAUCACACAGAUAUCUGCAACACUGGCAUCUGAGCUCUUUGGACAUCAAAGAACCUGAAAUAUUAAAGGGAUGGAUGAAUGAGAUUCACAACUAUGAUCCAGAAACUUACCACGCGACUUUGACACACUCAGUCUUUGUUCGACUUGAGGGUGGAACCUUGAGGCUUUUGAAGCCCAAUAAAAACAUAUCCAGGAAGGCAAGCUACAGUGAAGUGAAGCCAGAGGUCACCUACAUCAGCCAGAAGAUCUAUGACCUUUCUGACAGCAAGAUUUAUCUUGUACCUAAAAGUUUGGCUAGAAAGCGAAUCUGGAACAAAGAGUACCCCAUUUGUAUUGAGCUUGAUCGACAAGAUGACUUUAUGUAUAAAACUCAGACUGAUAAGGAGAUUUCUGAAGAGAAGCUGCCAGCUGAAUGAGAGCUGGACAACAAGGACCCCAAGAAGCCUCCCCACCCUUAAGAGGGAGCACAACCGGUCCACCGAGAUCAGAUACUCUACCUGUCUGGGCGAACUGGCCGAGAAAAGGAAGAGUGGUUCAGAAGGUUUAUUUUGGCAUCUAAGCUGAAGUCAGACCUCAAGAGGCCACCUGGCGUCUCUGGAAGUAAACCAGGGCUCCUGCCCUCCCACAGGAGGCACAGCAGUCCUUCUGGACACCUGACCCACAGCCGCAGCAGCAGCAAAGACAGCGUGGAGGAGAUCAUGACGCAGCCGAAGCAGAAGGAGCUGGUGGGCAGUGUGCGGCAGAAGAUGCUGAAGGACUACGGCAUGUACAUGGGUAGGUGUGUGCCCCAGGAGAGUCGUAGUCUGCACCGGAGCCCGGAGCAGAGUGCAGAGAGCAGUCCCACGGCUGGCAAGAAUUUGCCAGAAGCCCCACCCUCCGAGGAGGAAGAACAGGAAGCGUGGGUGAAUGCCUUGCUUGGAAGAAUGUUUUGGGCCAUCUUAGGAGAGAAGUACUGGUCUGAUGUGGUGUCAAAGAAGAUCCAGAUAAAACUUAGCAAAAUCAAGCUUCCCUACUUCAUGAAUGAGCUGACCCUGAUGGAGCUUGACAUGGGAGUGGCUGUGCCAAAAAUCCUCCAGGCCUUCAAGCCUCGUGUGGAUCACCAAAGACUCUGGAUCGACUUGGAAAUGUCCUACAAUGGAUCCUUUCUGAUGACUUUUGAGACUAAAAUGAAUUUGACCAAACUAGGUAAAGAGCCUCUUGUUGAAGCCCUGAAGGUUGGAGAAAUUGGCAAAGAAGGUUGCAGGCCCCGGGUGUACUGUCUUGCUGACAGUGAUGAGGAGUCCUUCCAGCGCCGGCUCCUCUGAUGAAGAUGGGGCCACUGAGCCCAGUGCAGGAGACAAGCAACUGCUCCCGGGAGGUGAAGGGUAUGUUGGAGGGCAUCGAACAAGUAAAAUUAUGAGGUUUGUCGAUAAAAUUACCAAUUCAAAAUAUUUCCAAAAAGCAACAGAGACAGAGUUCAUUAAAAAGAAGAUUGAAGAAGUCUCCAACACACCCCUGCUGCUAACUGUUGAAGUCCAGGAAUGCAGAGGAACACUAGCGGUCAACAUUCCUCCACCCUGGACUGACUGCAUAUGGUAUGGUUUCCAGAAGCUGCCAUAUGUGGAGCUGAAAGCUCGGCCAAAACUUGGAGAGAGAGAAGUGACAUUAGUUCACCUGACAGACUGGAUAGAGAAGAAACUGGAGCAAGAGUUUCAGAAAGUUUUCGUCAUGCCAAACAUGCAUGAUAUUUACAUCCCUAUAAUGCACUCAGCUAUGGACCCUUGCUCCACUUCCUGCCUCUUGAAGGAGACCCUGUGGAGGCUGCUGAUUCUCUGUAGCGGAUGGAGGAAGAGGGUCUCCGUCUUGAGACGGCCCUCCGCAUCCAGGUUCCUGGCUGCCGUCUGCACCGCGGCACUGGCUCCUAAGACUGCUUCUGCCUCUGCCUGCCAGUGCCCAUUCCACUGUGAGGUGUCAUUCCCCGCAUCUAGUGACAGGCAUUUGGAGUGCCUGCCACAAAGCCUGGCCUUGGCAAAGGAGACUGAACAGUUAUACUAGUGGGCCCAGAAGUUACAUGACUCACAUUGUGGCUGCUUAAAGUCUACCAACUUCGGAGCUGAAUUUUUGUGGCAGCAAAAGGCACAUUGAGAGCAAAGCUGUGUAGCUAACUGGAAGCCUCCCCUCCUUUUCCCUCCCCUCCCCAUCCAAAGCCUUGCCUCAGACUUUCAUUCUACACUUGGUACACAAGUGUAGCCCUCCGAGCUCCAGGGUGUCAGCCUGGCAACACGUGUGGGAAGUGGGAUUUCGAGCCACUGCAAUGGUGGGAGAGUCUUCACAAAUCACUGUUACUAACUUGUGCAUUUUAGAAGCAAGUUGCCAUAAAACAC